rnacentral:rRNA from 1 species
UACGUAGGUGGCAAGCGUUGUCCGGAAUUAUUGGGCGUAAAGCGCGCGCAGGCGGUUCUUUAAGUCUGAUGUGAAAGCCCCCGGCUCAACCGGGGAGGGUCAUUGGAAACUGGGGAACUUGAGUGCAGAAGAGAAGAGCGGAAUUCCACGUGUAGCGGUGAAAUGCGUAGAGAUGUGGAGGAACACCAGUGGCGAAGGCGGCUCUCUGGUCUGUAACUGACGCUGAGGCGCGAAAGCGUGGGGAGCAAACAGG